rnacentral:rRNA from 1 species
GAUGAACGCUGGCGGCGUGCCUAAUACAUGCAAGUCGAGCGAACGGACGAGAAGCUUGCUUUUCUGAUGUUAGCGGCGGACGGGUGAGUAACACGUGGAUAACCUACCUAUAAGACUGGGAUAACUUCGGGAAACCGGAGCUAAUACCGGAUAAUAUUUUGAACCGCAUGGUUCAAAAGUGAAAGACGGUGUUGCUGUCACUUAUAGAUGGAUCCGCGCUGCAUUAGCUAGUUGGUAAGGUAACGGCUUACCAAGGCAACGAUGCGUAGCCGACCUGAGAGGGUGAUCGGCCACACUGGAACGUAGACGCGGUCCAGACUACUACGGGAGGGAGCAGUAGGGAAUCUUACGCAAUGGGCGGAAGCCUGACGGAGCAACGCCGCGUGAGAGAUGAAGGUCUCCGGAUCGUAAUACUCUGUUAUGAGGGAAGAACAUAUGUGUAAGUAACUGAGCACAGCUUGACGGUACCUAAUCAGAAAGCCACGGCUAACUACGUG